GAGUUUGAUCCUGGCUCAGAUUGAACGCUGGCGGCAGGCCUAACACAUGCAAGUCGAGCGGUAACAGAAAGUAGCUUGCUACUUUGCUGACGAGCGGCGGACGGGUGAGUAAUGCUUGGGAACAUGCCUUGAGGUGGGGGACAACAGUUGGAAACGACUGCUAAUACCGCAUAAUGUCUACGGACCAAAGGGGGCUUCGGCUCUCGCCUUUAGAUUGGCCCAAGUGGGAUUAGCUAGUUGGUGAGGUAAUGGCUCACCAAGGCGACGAUCCCUAGCUGGUUUGAGAGGAUGAUCAGCCACACUGGGACUGAGACACGGCCCAGACUCCUACGGGAGGCAGCAGUGGGGAAUAUUGCACAAUGGGCGCAAGCCUGAUGCAGCCAUGCCGCGUGUGUGAAGAAGGCCUUCGGGUUGUAAAGCACUUUCAGUCAGGAGGAAAGGUUAGUAGUUAAUACCUGCUAGCUGUGACGUUACUGACAGAAGAAGCACCGGCUAACUCCGUGCCAGCAGCCGCGGUAAUACGGAGGGUGCGAGCGUUAAUCGGAAUUACUGGGCGUAAAGCGUACGCAGGCGGUUUGUUAAGCGAGAUGUGAAAGCCCCGGGCUCAACCUGGGAACUGCGUUUCGAACUGGCAAACUAGAGUGUGAUAGAGGGUGGUAGAAUUUCAGGUGUAGCGGUGAGAUGCGUAGAGAUCUGAAGGAAUACCGAUGGCGAAGGCAGCCACCUGGGUCAACACUGACGCUCAUGUACGAAAGCGUGGGGAGCAAACGGGAUUAGAUACCCCGGUAGUCCACGCCGUAAACGAUGUCUACUAGAAGCUCGGAGCCUCGGUUCUGUUGAUUCAAAGCUAACGCAUUAAGUAGACCGCCUGGGGAGUACGGCCGCAAGGUUAAAACUCAAAGGAAUUGACGG
rnacentral:rRNA from 1 species